CUGUAGUUAAGUGGUAGAGCAGUUACCUGGCAUGUACUCAGCCCUGGGUUCAAUUCCCAGUAG
rnacentral:tRNA from 1 species